rnacentral:rRNA from 1 species
AUUGAACGCUGGCGGCAUGCCUUACACAUGCAAGUCGAACGGCAGCACGGGAGCAAUCCUGGUGGCGAGUGGCGAACGGGUGAGUAAUAUAUCGGAACGUGCCCAGUAGUGGGGGAUAACUGCUCGAAAGAGCAGCUAAUACCGCAUACGACCUGAGGGUGAAAGGGGGGGAUCGCAAGACCUCUCGCUAUUGGAGCGGCCGAGAUCAGAUUAGCUAGUUGGUGGGGGAAAGGCCUACCAAGGCAACGAUCUGUAGUUGGUCUGAGAGGACGACCAGCCACACUGGGACUGAGACACGGCCCAGACUCCUACGGGAGGCAGCAGUGGGGAAUUUUGGACAAUGGGCGCAAGCCAGAUCCAGCAAUGCCGCGUGCAGGAAGAAGGCCUUCGGGUUGUAAACUGCUUUUGUCAGGGAAGAAAUCCUCUAGGUUAAUACCCUUGGGGGGAUGACGGUACCUGAAGAAUAAGCACCGGCUAACUACGUGCCAGCAGCCGCGGUAAGAC